rnacentral:lncRNA from 11 species
CAGAUUGACAAUCUGGCCCCAUAGAAUUUAAAGGAGUAGCAACCUCUUGUGUCAUCCCUGGUGCAUGUACCUUCCUCAGAAAUUUGGGAAGGUGAACUUUUCCCCUCAACAUUGAAGAUUCAAUAAUUAUUUCACAGCUGUUGGGGCUCUUUUUAACUCUGAUUCACUUCAGAAGAAAUAAAUGCCAGCACUGAAGGAUUUUUUCCCAGACCCAC